AUUUAGCCCUGAUUGGAGCAAAUAUCCUUUUUCUUUUUUCUUUAAAAAGGAAAAGAUAUUGCGGAAAGCAGGAAAAUGG
rfam:Flavobacterium aquatile LMG 4008 contig3, whole genome shotgun sequence.